rnacentral:rRNA from 1 species
UACGUAGGGUGCGAGCGUUGUCCGGAAUUAUUGGGCGUAAAGAGCUCGUAGGCGGCCUGUCGCGUCGGAUGUGAAAGCCCGGGGCUUAACCCCGGGUCUGCAGUCGAUACGGGCGGACUGGAGUACUGCAGGGGAGACUGGAAUUCCUGGUGUAGCGGUGAAAUGCGCAGAUAUCAGGAGGAACACCGAUGGCGAAGGCAGUGUUCUGGGCCAGUACUGACGCUGAGGAGCGAGAGCGUGGGGAGCAAACAGG